AAUAAAAUGACUCUCGGCAACGGAUAUCUCAGCUCUUGCAUCGAUGAAGAACGUAGCGAAAUGCGAUACUUGGUGUGAAUUGCAGAAUCCCGUGAACCAUCGAGUCUUUGAACACAAGUUGCGCAUGAAGCCUCCUAGCCGAGGGCACGUCUGUCUGGGCAUCA
rnacentral:rRNA from 1 species